UAGAACAUGCCCUAACGUGGGGGAUAACCAUUGGAAACGAUGGCUAAUACCGCAUAAUCUCUACGGAGCAAAGAGGGGGACCUUCGGGCCUCUUGCGUUAGGAUUGGCCUAGGUGGGAUUAGCUAGUUGGUGAGGUAAUGGCUCACCAAGGCAACGAUCUCUAGCUGGUCUGAGAGGAUGAUCASCCACACUGGAACUGAGACACGGUCCAGACUCCUACGGGAGGCAGCAGUGGGGAAUAUUGCACAAUGGGCGAAAGCCUGAUGCAGCCAUGCCGCGUGUGUGAAGAAGGCCUUCGGGUUGUAAAGCACUUUCAGUCGUGAGGAAGGGGGURUGUUUAAUACGCAUGCCUCUUGACGUUAGCGACAGAAGAAGCACCGGCUAACUCCGUGCCAGCAGCCGCGGUAAUACGGAGGGUGCGAGCGUUAAUCGGAAUUACUGGGCGUAAAGCGCAUGCAGGUGGUUAGUUAAGUCAGAUGUGAAAGCCCAAGGCUCAACCUUGGAAUUGCAUUUGAAACUGGCUAGCUAGAGUACUGUAGAGGGGGGUAGAAUUUCAGGUGUAGCGGUGAAAUGCGUAGAGAUCUGAAGGAAUACCGGUGGCGAAGGCGGCCCCCUGGACAGAUACUGACACUCAGAUGCGAAAGCGUGGGGAGCAAACAGGAUUAGAUACCCUGGUAGUCCACGCUGUAAACGAUGUCUACUUGGAGGUUGUGGCCUUGAGCCGUGGCUUUCGGAGCUAACGCGUUAAGUAGACCGCCUGGGGAGUACGGUCGCAAGAUUAAAACUCAAAUGAAUUGACGGGGGCCCGCACAAGCGGUGGAGCAUGUGGUUUAAUUCGAUGCAACGCGAAGAACCUUACCUACUCUUGACAUCUACAGAGCC
rnacentral:rRNA from 1 species